ACGCUGGCGGCGUGCUUACACCAUGCAAGUCUGAACGAACCUUCGGGUUAGUGGCGGACGGGUGAGUAACGCGUGAGAAUCUGCCCUCAGGAGGGGGACAACAGCUGGAAACGGCUGCUAAUACCCCAUAUGCCGAGAGGUGAAACGAAUUUCGCCUGAGGAUGAGCUCGCGUCUGAUUAGCUAGUUGGUGUGGUAAAGGCGCACCAAGGCAUCGAUCAGUAGCUGGUCUGAGAGGAUGAUCAGCCACACUGGGACUGAGACACGGCCCAGACUCCUACGGGAGGCAGCAGUGGGGAAUUUUCCGCAAUGGGCGAAAGCCUGACGGAGCAACGCCGCGUGAGGGAUGAAGGCCUCUGGGCUGUAAACCUCUUUUCUCAAGGAAGAAGAUCUGACGGUACUUGAGGAAUAAGCCACGGCUAAUUCCGUGCCAGCAGCCGCGGUAAUACGGGAGUGGCAAGCGUUAUCCGGAAUUAUUGGGCGUAAAGCGUCCGCAGGCGGCCCAUCAAGUCUGCUGUUAAAAAGUGGAGCUUAACUCCAUCAUGGCAGUGGAAACUGUUGGGCUAGAGUGUGGUAGGGGCAGAGGGAAUUCCCGGUGUAGCGGUGAAAUGC
rnacentral:rRNA from 1 species